rnacentral:lncRNA from 12 species
CUAAAAAAAGAGAGAUGUUCCAUUCCCACCCCAUAUAUUAAUCCGAAUCUCUGAAGGAACUGGGAACCUUAAAAAUUACUUCUUAACUGGUUCUAAAGUAUGGUAGUGAUAGAGAACUAUAGUUUCAGCCAAUCAGUGUGUUAGGACAAUUUCCCUGGUGGCUGUUACUGGGGAACUUCCUAUGGUAAGGAAGCAUAUUCAAAUUUAAAGGCAAGUAAGUGAACGAGGAAACGUGUGGCUCUGGUGACUGCUGGCUGUCAUCUCAUGACCAGUCUUAGGAUGAAGGUGAUUCUUUGGACGGUAAAGCAGAGAAUAUGAUCUCUGAUGUCAUCCUUCAGUGAUUUAAUCAGUUAACCUGAAACUUGCCCUACCUUUGGACUCCAUUUAUGUUAGAAAAUAAACUUCUAAGUCAAGGAAAUUGGAAUCCGAGAGAUUAAAUGAUUCAUGGAAGAAAUGAAAAGCCAAGUUUACAGUUCGCUGUUCUUCCUGCACACUCUAUGGAGGUCCCUCUGAAGAAAUUGGUCGUACAAUGAAAUAGUCUGGCAACACUCCAAAGUGAGGAGCAGAUGGAUGUGCUGUGGGUCUGACCACUAACCUAGAGACCUGGUCCACAGGUGAUCUUCCACAUUAUUGCUCUACAAAUGCUGUAUAGUUCAGACCAGUGCUUCCUGCUUUUGGAACCUUGACCUUCGCCCCUGGGUUAUGAUGGAUAUACAACAAAUGGAGCAUAUCAUAGCAUUUCAGGACCAGGAGAGAGACCUUGGAAGUCACUUUCUGCAUGAAAGUGUGUGGUACCACCGUCCAACACAAAAGACUAAUGUGCCUGGAGAACAACAGCAACAGAGUGGCCGUAUAACAACAACAAGGACAAUAACAGUACCAUUUACAGAUUCCACAAGACCACCAAAAGCACUGCUUAACCUUUCAACUGGAAUGGCCACUAUACUCGUAGGAAGAAGUGCAGAGGGCUGA